rnacentral:lncRNA from 1 species
GGAUUGGAAAAGUCAGAAGUAAGGGGGGAAUGGAGUGAAACAGCACCUUCUGGACACAACAAUAUUGCUGCAUUCACGAACUACUGUCAGCUGUGACUGCCUGAAUAAUAUCUGCACAAGAAGAAGAAUGUAUGCUGCUACUGACAAGCAGGGUUAUCAGAUUUGAACAAUGAUUCUACGUAUGAGUCUGAGUGGAAAUGAAGCUCUUUCAAAACUUAGUAACUUCAAUCAAUAUUGCUUCCACCUUCAGACAUACUAUUGGAUGGACUUAGUGACUUGCUAAUCAAUGGAAUGUGGCAGAAGUGAUGCUUGGUGUUUCUGAGAAUGAACCAGAAAAGUCCUUUUUUGGUUUCUCUCUGCUCUGCUUAUGCUUGCCUCCUGGAGUCUGAAUCGCUGGGCAGCACAUCGGAGAAUGGAGAAGGUCAUACUCCAGGGAAGCCCUGGAUAACUACACGGAGAGGAGCAUGUGAACAUCUGCCCCCAUGCAGGGGACGGGCU